rnacentral:misc_RNA from 1 species
GGGAACAUAGGGAUUAUUGCCGUGAACUCUUUUUUUUCCAGACCACAACGCUGCGGAUGAGCUGCUGAAGCGGGUCGAUGAUAUCGAGUGGACAGUUUAUCACAAUGACACAUUUCUAUCCAAAUAGCUUGCUUUUCAGAUGGGUAAAUGUGGCUUCGCGUGUUGACAGAUAUUGAAUAGCAUGCCGAGAAAGCUGAUGAAAGCAGCUGUGGAUGCGGUGGAAGUGAUGGACUGUUCUGGAAUCGCUUUUCGUUGGACUGGAAAAUCAAUUUCCGUAAACAUCUUCAGAAGCUGCCGCAAAGCCGAUCCCACUGAACUUUUUUCC